rnacentral:rRNA from 1 species
UACGUAGGGUGCAAGCGUUGUCCGGAAUUAUUGGGCGUAAAGAGCUUGUAGGCGGUUUGUCGCGUCUGCUGUGAAAUUUCGGGGCUCAACCCCGAACUUGCAGUGGGUACGGGCAGACUAGAGUGUGGUAGGGGAGACUGGAAUUCCUGGUGUAGCGGUGAAAUGCGCAGAUAUCUGGAGGAAUACCGGUGGCGAAGGCGGCAUCCUGGACCGAGAUUGACGCUGAUGAGCGAAAGCUAGGGGGAGCAAACGGGG